rnacentral:tRNA from 1 species
UGGUGUCGGUGGCGAGCAGCGCUUUGCCGUUGUUGAUUUUGUCGAGAUUAAUCUGGCAUAGCUGGUCGGUUUUUCCGGCUGCAAACACCGGUGACGCCAGC